rnacentral:rRNA from 1 species
UGGGGAAUUUUGGACAAUGGGGGCAACCCUGAUCCAGCCAUGCCGCGUGCGGGAAGAAGGCCUUCGGGUUGUAAACCGCUUUUAGCCGGGAAGAAAAGGCACGGGUUAAUACUCCGUGUUCUUGACGGUACCGGCGGAAUAAGCACCGGCUAACUACGCGCCAGCAGCCGCGGUAAUACGUAGGGUGCGAGCGUUAAUCGGAAUUACUGGGCGUAAAGCGUGCGCAGGCGGUUCGUUAAGUUCGUUGUGAAAGCCCCGGGCUCAACCUGGGAACUGCAAUGGAAACUGGCGGGCUUGAAUGCGGCAGAGGGGGGUGGAAUUCCGCGUGUAGCAGUGAAAUGCGUAGAGAUGCGGAGGAACACCGAUGGCGAAGGCAGCCCCCUGGGCCGACAUUGACGCUCAGGCACGAAAGCGUGGGGAGCAAAC